GGUUGAUCUAUAUAUAUAUGGUAAUUGGUAAAUGUUAAUACCAAAUAAAAACACAAAAGGGUAGACAGAAAAGGAAAAACACAGAGACCUCUCCGUCGUGUUUUCUCUCCAUCUCUUGAACUUUCCGGUAAGCUUCGUCGUUUUUCCUGUUGGAUUAGUGAUCGUAUAAGUAGAUAGUUUUGAUUAACCUAGAUAUCUCCAUUCUUGUAGAAACUUCACUGCUCAGUGAGGUUCUAAUUGUUUCUUCGAAUUGAGUUGAUUGCACUGCCGUAUAAACCCUAAUUUCGUGGUCCUUGGGGACUCUCACAGUUUCCGAACCCUUAUUCUUGAUUUUCUGAAUUGCCUGAGUUCUCUCUUGUUGCUGAUUUGUUUUGAAAGAUGGAUUUUGGAGGUCAUUCUUCUCAUCGAUGGAUCUGGGUUUUAAAAUUGAGCUCGUAGUUUCUAUGUUUUGGAGCAAAUAUCAUCUCCGUUAGUUACUUUUAUACGCUCGGUGGCAUUAGUGUGUUUAAGUUUUUCACAGCUAAUCUCUGUUAGUUACUUAUACGGUGAUGGAUCCUUUUUAGGUUUAUUCUCUGUAUCAAUGAAGAUUUUGUAUCAAACACAAACCUAAUACUGGUUCCUUGACUGGUAAUGUAAGUAUUUGGGUUGUUAAGUCCAUGGAAAAAUCAGGCCCUGUGCAGAAAGCCGUUGUGCUCCAGCCAUUUGUAAAGUAACUCUCUAUACCACACAACUUUUUUUCUUUCUAUUCAAUCACAGAUAUAGCGAUACUUUUUGUCUAGAAUCUUCUUAUAUAUGUUCAAAUAGUGCCCUUAUCAAUUGUUUUAGAAAAGCCUUGGUUUUACUCACCACUCUACUAAUUGAAGCUGGAAAUUGAAAGUGUUUGGUUAUAUGUUGAAACUUUUUGCAAGUUCUCUUAUUUCAAUUGUCAUCAAUCUCCACUGAGAAAGUUGGAGUUUUUGUCUCGGUUUUAUCCCCAUUUCUUCAAAUUUGAGCUAAUUAUGUUAAUCAGGCUCAAGUAAUACAGAAAGAUUAUGGAUUUAGAUGCAUGGGAAAUCAUCCAUAUACCUGAAAAGCCUGCAUUGUCACCUGACCAUCAGCCCACUGGUAAUGAUUCAAUCUCAAAGGCCUCUCCUUUUGGAUUUUUAGUCUAUCAAAGGUUCUUUAUGUAAACUUCUUCUUUUGUGUGUGGGUGUUGUUGUUGUUCACAGUAAAGGUAUAUGCGAGUCUAAUUAAACCCAAAUUUGCCAAUAUGAUAGUCAGGUUUGUCAUUCUUGUUUCGACUUUAUAGUUGUAAUCUCUUACUCAGUUUUCUUCGACUUUCAGUUGUAAUCUCAUGCUUAGCUUUUUUCCAACUCUACACUUAAAUGAGUGGAUUUUGACUUUGCUAUGAUAGGCAUUUAUGUAAGAUUGCUCCUCUAGAAGAUCUUCGCCAUGUUAAAAGGGUGAAGAAGAAGAUUCUUCCAGAUAGCGGUAUCCCGUUGUUAGUUUUCUUGGCGCUGUGAUACACCAAACAUAACAUUAUGAGGUUUUGAUUUCAAGCUUAUUGGGCAGGUGAAACUCAGUUGACUGUCAUCUUAUGUCUAGCACCUGAGCACCACGAUCAAUUGAACAAUAUGCCACCUGAUGUGCAGAAACUCGUUGAUCCCUAUGAGUUGAGUCCUUUUAUUACACAAGUAGGUUUCUUUUCUCUUUUCCCACCACAAUUUUCUUCAAGGAUUUUGUACAUUUUGAUUCCAAGUCAAAGAUUUCUUUCUGCUCACUCAAUUAUAUUUUCAGUGGAAUCUCAUAUUUUCAUGCAAUAACUAUGAUAGGUAUGCAAAUAUGCUGCGGUAUCAAAAGAAGAGUGGGAAGAACAGAGUAAGAUAUGGCCAACUUCUUUUCACCCCCCAACUUAGUAAGCUCCAUGUCUUUUUGUUAGCUUUUUGGUUUCUUGGAUCUUUUUUGUAACCAAAGGAGUCUACAUUAUCUUUCUUAUCUUUUUAAUAUCUAAGCUUUAGUCGUUCUAGAAUAAUCCUACUUCUUGAUGAUUUCUAUUAGUGCUCUUAUUUGCAUUGAUAGCAAUAUAUGUCUUUGUUUAUAGUGCAGCAGUCAAUGAUUUUUUACUUUUUGUAUUUGCCAAUGACAGCAAUAUAGAUGGCAUCGGUGGGUUCAGCGAGGAGGAUACACAAUCGAUCUGCAAGUUCAUGAGAGUUGUUAUUGAUAUGGCAGUAUCUGGUCAUAAACCAGUAAGUAUUUUUUAUUGAUCUAAAUAACAUCGAUAUGAAGUUUUAAACAAUAGACCGGAGUCUCCUAAUCAUCUAUUUUCAUUUUCACACACCAUUCGCUUUUUUUAGCGCCUCAAUCCUUUUUCUCUUGGCAGUAAGAUUUACCACGGAUUCAUUACAUAGAAAAGGAUCUCAAUUUACCACAUUUCUAUUGUACUUUUCAGCUUGUAAAUGCUGCAGUGAUAGUUGAUCCUUCAGUUAGGCGAAUAAUAGCUAGUGAAACUGAUCAAGUAUAUGCAUCAUCUGCUCCUCGCGACAAUACUAGCGCAGGGACCAGGCCCUUCAAGGAAACAGGGGAAAUAUGCUUAAAUGGCAUACUUGAAAAACAGAAUUGUUCGUUGUCUGCUGUUGCUUGUCUAAAUCCCUGGCAAUGGAGUUUGCAGCCGCAUGACACUGAAAUUUGUAGCCAAUGGAAUCCUCUUAGGCAUGCUUCCAUGGUUGCCAUUGAAUCUUCUUCGGCCAGAGAUAGACAUCUGUUUCCCAAUUCAUCCGAGAUUUUUGGUCAGGAUCAUGUUCAGCCCUCAAAUACAGAUUCUCCGGCUAAAAAGCAGAAAACAAGCAGUCACAGUCCAGACGUAAGUUCAUUCCAACCAAGGUUUUGAAUUUCCUCCAGUGCUUUGACUAGUACAGCAUUCUUUCUUACACUUUUGAGUUACCGAUAGGUCCAAAGUGACAGCGGAGAAGAGACUCUUAGAGAUCCUUCAAUGGAAAGGCCGUACCUCUGCACUGGUUAUGACAUUUUCCUCCUGUUGGAGCCCUGUGCAAUGUGAGCUUCUACAUACAUUACCCUUCAAACUCCGCAAGUUUAUGUAUCUAAUAAAGUCGUAAUAUGUUCCCAAGGUGUGCUAUGGCGCUUGUGCAUCAAAGAAUAAAACGGAUUUUCUAUGCUUUUCCAAACCCCACGGCAGGUGGUCUCGGGAGUGUUCAUAGACUUCAAGGGGAAAAGAGUUUGAACCAUCAUUAUGCAGUGUUUAGAGUUUUGCUGCCUGAUGACGCACUUAGGCAAAUGACCAUGGUCUAAUGCAUUGUUGUAGUCGAUCGAUAAUUGUAUUACAGGUUCUGGGUGAGAAAGUUGUCGAGUAAAUAAAAACAGUUUCACUCCAUCUCUCAUCCAAUUCUUUAUCAACAUGCUCUAUACAAAUAAGAGAAAUGGUUUCCAAAUUGUACGAGCGCAAAUCUCAACAAUAAUAAAGGAGGGAUAAAGAAUACUUUGAGCUGAUGAAAUCUUUAAUCUUUGAUUUAUGACUAUGAAAUUAAAUCUUCUUACAAAUGCAUUUAAUUAUUUUCCAAUGGAAAAAAUUUACAUAAAACGCCUUAUUUGUUAUGAUAUAUGAUUAAUCGCUUAUUUCAACAUGUGAAUUUAUGCGAAAAUAUCUCUGUUUAAAAUGGUUGUGUCCCUUUCUAAUCGUUUAUGUGGUUUCAUAAUUUCUCUCACUACUAAACCCAGAUUUAUGUGGUUUUAGAAUAAUCAAGUUUCCACUCUAAACGAUUUAGCAAUGUUAAUUACUUCAAGUUUUCAUUUUCCCGUGCGCGGGUGGACUUCCUAGUUAGUGUAAUUACAAAUACAAAGAGUUAAAAAUCUGAUUAUGGAAAUUUCUAUGAGAACUAAAAUGAGGUUGAUCUAUAUAUAUAUAUAUGGUAAUUGGUAAAUGUUAAUACCAAAUAAAAAAACAAAAGGGUAGACAGAAAAGGAAAAACACAGAGACCUCUCCGUCGUGUUUUCUCUCCAUCUCUUGAACUUUCCGGUAAGCUUCGUCGUUUUUCCUGUUGGAUUAGUGAUCGUAUAAGUAGAUAGUUUUGAUUAACCUAGAUAUCUCCAUUCUUGUAGAAACUUCACUGCUCAGUGAGGUUCUAAUUGUUUCUUCGAAUUGAGUUGAUUGCACUGCCGUAUAAACCCUAAUUUCGUGGUCCUUGGGGACUCUCACAGUUUCCGAACCCUUAUUCUUGAUUUUCUGAAUUGCCUGAGUUCUCUCUUGUUGCUGAUUUGUUUUGAAAGAUGGAUUUUGGAGGUCAUUCUUCUCAUCGAUGGAUCUGGGUUUUAAAAUUGAGCUCGUAGUUUCUAUGUUUUGGAGCAAAUAUCAUCUCCGUUAGUUACUUUUAUACGCUCGGUGGCAUUAGUGUGUUUAAGUUUUUCACAGCUAAUCUCUGUUAGUUACUUAUACGGUGAUGGAUCCUUUUUAGGUUUAUUCUCUGUAUCAAUGAAGAUUUUGUAUCAAACACAAACCUAAUACUGGUUCCUUGACUGGUAAUGUAAGUAUUUGGGUUGUUAAGUCCAUGGAAAAAUCAGGCCCUGUGCAGAAAGCCGUUGUGCUCCAGCCAUUUGUCAAGUAACUCUCUAUACCAUACAACUUUUUUUCUUUCUAUUCAAUCACAGAUAUAGCGAUACUUUUUGUCUUCAGUCUUCUUAUAUAUAUAUAUAUAUAUGUUCAAAUAGUGC
rnacentral:lncRNA from 1 species